rnacentral:rRNA from 1 species
AAGGGGCUUGGCAGAAUCAGCGGGGAAAGAAAACCCUGUUGAGCUUGACUCUAGUCUGACCUUGUGAAGAGACACGGGGGGUGUAGGAUAGGUGGGAGGCCGGGCUCGCCCCGGUUCGCCGGUGAAAUACCACUACUCUCGUCGUUUCUUUACUUAUUCGGUGAGGCGGGAAGCGGGCCCCUCGCGGGCCCAGUCUUCUGGCGCUAAGCGCCCGGCCACCUCGCGGUGAGCCGGGCGCGACCCGCUCCGACGACAGCGUCAGGCGGGGAGUUUGACUGGGGCGGUACAUCUGUCAAAUGGUAACGGCAGGUGUCCUAAGGCGAGCUCAGCGAGGACGGAAACCUCGCGUAGAGCAAAAGGGCAAAAGCUCGUUUGAUUUUGAUUUUCAGUAUGAAUACAGACCGUGAAAGCGUGGCCUAUCGAUCCUUUUGACCUUCGGGGUUUGAAGCAAGAGGUGUCAGAAAAGUUACCACAGGGAUAACUGGUCUUGUGGCAGCCAAGCGGUCCAUAGCGUAC